AUGCAGGGACGAGAGAGUUCUUGGCUAGGGCGUGGUUCAGUUCGAAGCUGUGGACUGCUAGAUAGAAGCAAGGAGCGCCGACAGCCAGACACCCUGGGGUUUCUGAUGCAGCUAAUCGGCAGAUCCAGUGUCCCUGGGGUGGGGGAUUUGGAGGUGGCCCAGCAGGCGGAGCGCGAGGCAGCCGGCGGUGGACAGCGGCGACACACAAAUCUAGUUCGCACACGAAGCGGCGGCCAACAGAAGGGAGAGCUCGCCGGCGAUGUCGGAGCUGUCAACGGGAAAGAUGAAUCCCCAAGCACUGGGGUGGAUCAAAAGGUAUACCAACUUGCAGUCCAUCAGAUUUUCAGAGAUUUAGGACAAAGAAAGUAG
rnacentral:rRNA from 1 species